GGCGUGGAUAAGACAUGCAAGUCGAACGAGAGAAUUGCUAGCUUGCUAAUAAUUCUCUAGUGGCGCACGGGUGAGUAACACGUGAGUAACCUGCCCCCGAGAGCGGGAUAGCCCUGGGAAACUGGGAUUAAUACCGCAUAGUAUCGAAAGAUUAAAGCAGCAAUGCGCUUGGGGAUGGGCUCGCGGCCUAUUAGUUAGUUGGUGAGGUAACGGCUCACCAAGGCGAUGACGGGUAGCCGGUCUGAGAGGAUGUCCGGCCACACUGGAACUGAGACACGGUCCAGACACCUACGGGUGGCAGCAGUCGAGAAUCAUUCACAAUGGGGGAAACCCUGAUGGUGCGACGCCGCGUGGGGGAAUGAAGGUCUUCGGAUUGUAAACCCCUGUCAUGUGGGAGCAAAUUAAAAAGAUAGUACCACAAGAGGAAGAGACGUCUAACUAUGUGCCAGCAGCAGCGGUAAUACAGAGGUCUCAAGCGUUGUUCGGAAUCACUGGGCGUAAAGCGUGCGUAGGCUGUUUCGUAAGUCGUGUGUGAAAGGCGCGGGCUCAACCCGCGGACGGCACAUGAUACUGCGAGACUAGAGUAAUGGAGGGGGAACCGGAAUUCUCGGUGUAGCAGUGAAAUGCGUAGAUAUCGAGAGGAACACUCGUGGCGAAGGCGGGUUCCUGGACAUUAACUGUCGCUGAGGCACGAAGGCCAGGGGAGCGAAAAAGAUUAGAUACCCCUGUAGUCCUGGCAG
rnacentral:rRNA from 1 species